rnacentral:rRNA from 1 species
CGUGUAGGUGGUUUUGUAAGUCGAAUGUGAAAUCUCACGGCUCAACCGUGAAAUUGCGUUCGAAACUACAUGACUUGAGUUAGGGAGAGGUGUGCGGAAUUCCUGGUGUAGCGGUGGAAUGCGUAGAUAUCAGGAAGAACACCGAUGGCGAAGGCAGCACACUGGCCUGUAACUGACACUGAGGCGCGAAAGCGUGGGGAGCAAACA